rnacentral:tRNA from 1 species
GCCGAAGUGGCGGAAUUGGUAGACGCAGCGGAUUCAAAAUCCGCCGAUGAAUAAUCGUGAGAGUUCGAGUCUCUCCUUCGGCACCA